rnacentral:rRNA from 1 species
AGUUUGAUCCUGGCUCAGGAUGAACGCUAGCUACAGGCUUAACACAUGCAAGUCGAGGGGCAGCAUGAACUUAGCUUGCUAAGUUUGAUGGCGACCGGCGCACGGGUGAGUAACACGCAUCCAACCUGCCGAUGACUCGGGGAUAGCCUUUCGAAAGAAAGAUUAAUACCCGAUGGCAUAGUUCUUCCGCAUGGUAGAACUAUUAAAGAAUUUCGGUCAUCGAUGGGGAUGCGUUCCAUUAGGUUGUUGGCGGGGUAAUGGCCCACCAAGCCUUCGAUGGAUAGGGGUUCUGAGAGGAAGGUCCCCCACAUUGGAACUGAGACACGGUCCAAACUCCUACGGGAGGCAGCAGUGAGGAAUAUUGGUCAAUGGACGAGAGUCUGAACCAGCCAAGUAGCGUGAAGGAUGACUGCCCUAUGGGUUGUAAACUUCUUUUAUACGGGAAUAAAGUGAGGCACGUGUGCCUUUUUGUAUGUACCGUAUGAAUAAGGAUCGGCUAACUCCGUGCCAGCAGCCGCGGUAAUACGGAGGAUCCGAGCGUUAUCCGGAUUUAUUGGGUUUAAAGGGAGCGUAGGCGGACGCUUAAGUCAGUUGUGAAAGUUUGCGGCUCAACCGUAAAAUUGCAGUUGAUACUGGGUGUCUUGAGUACAGUAGAGGCAGGCGGAAUUCGUGGUGUAGCGGUGAAAUGCUUAGAUAUCACGAAGAACUCCGAUUGCGAAGGCAGCUUGCUGGACUGUAACUGACGCUGAUGCUCGAAAGUGUGGGUAUCAAACAGGAUUAGAUACCCUGGUAGUCCACACAGUAAACGAUGAAUACUCGCUGUUUGCGAUAUACAGUAAGCGGCCAAGCGAAAGCGUUAAGUAUUCCACCUGGGGAGUACGCCGGCAACGGUGAAACUCAAAGGAAUUGACGGGGGCCCGCACAAGCGGAGGAACAUGUGGUUUAAUUCGAUGAUACGCGAGGAACCUUACCCGGGCUUGAAUUGCAACUGAAUGAUGUGGAGACAUGUCAGCCGCAAGGCAGUUGUGAAGGUGCUGCAUGGUUGUCGUCAGCUCGUGCCGUGAGGUGUCGGCUUAAGUGCCAUAACGAGCGCAACCCUUAUCGAUAGUUACCGUCAGGUGAUGCUGGGGACUCUGUCGAGACUGCCGUCGUAAGAUGUGAGGAA